rnacentral:rRNA from 1 species
AUUGAACGCUGGCGGCAUGCCUUACACAUGCAAGUCGAACGGCAGCGCGGGGCAACCUGGCGGCGAGUGGCGAACGGGUGAGUAAUAUAUCGGAACGUACCCUGGAGUGGGGGAUAACGUAGCGAAAGUUACGCUAAUACCGCAUACGAUCUAAGGAUGAAAGUGGGGGAUCGCAAGACCUCAUGCUCCUGGAGCGGCCGAUAUCUGAUUAGCUAGUUGGUGGGGUAAAGGCCUACCAAGGCAUCGAUCAGUAGCUGGUCUGAGAGGACGACCAGCCACACUGGAACUGAGACACGGUCCAGACUCCUACGGGAGGCAGCAGUGGGGAAUUUUGGACAAUGGGCGAAAGCCUGAUCCAGCAAUGCCGCGUGAGUGAAGAAGGCCUUCGGGUUGUAAAGCUCUUUUGUCAGGGAAGAAACGGUGAGAGCUAAUAUCUUUUGCUAAUGACGGUACCUGAAGAAUAAGCACCGGCUAACUACGUGCCAGCAGCCGCGGUAAUACGUAGGGUGCAAGCGUUAAUCGGAAUUACUGGGCGUAAAGCGUGCGCAGGCGGUUUUGUAAGUUUGUCGUGAAAGCCCCGGGCUCAACCUGGGAAUUGCGAUGAAGACUGCAAGGCUUGAAUCUGGCAGAGGGGGGUAGAAUUCCACGUGUAGCAGUGAAAUGCGUAGAGAUGUGGAGGAACACCGAUGGCGAAGGCGGCCCCCUGGGUCAAGAUUGACGCUCAUGCACGAAAGCGUGGGGAGCAAACAGGAUUAGAUACCCUGGUAGUCCACGCCCUAAACGAUGUCUACUAGUUGUCGGGUUUUAAUUAACUUGGUAACGCAGCUAACGCGUGAAGUAGACCGCCUGGGGAGUACGGUCGCAAGAUUAAAACUCAAAGGAAUUGACGGGGACCCGCACAAGCGGUGGAUGAUGUGGAUUAAUUCGAUGCAACGCAAAAAACCUUACCUACCCUUGACAUGUACGGAAGCUUGGAGAGAUCUGAGUGUGCUCGAAAGAGAGCCGUAACACAGGUGCUGCAUGGCUGUCGUCAGCUCGUGUCGUGAGAUGUUGGGUUAAGUCCCGCAACGAGCGCAACCCUUGUCAUUAGUUGCUACGAAAGAGCACUCUAAUGAGACUGCCGGUGACAAACCGGAGGAAGGUGGGGAUGACGUCAAGUCCUCAUGGCCCUUAUGGGUAGGGCUUCACACGUCAUACAAUGGUACAUACAGAGGGCCGCCAACCCGCGAGGGGGAGCUAAUCCCAGAAAGUGUAUCGUAGUCCGGAUUGUAGUCUGCAACUCGACUACAUGAAGUUGGAAUCGCUAGUAAUCGCGGAUCAGCAUGUCGCGGUGAAUACGUUCCCGGGUCU